rnacentral:rRNA from 1 species
UUUUUUCAUAAGAAUGGGUUCUAUUCCCUUAAACCGUGUCUACAUACCUUUGUUGCUUUGGCAGGCCGCCUUCGGGCGUCGGCUCCGGCUGAUAGUGCCUGCCAGAGGACCCAAACUCUAUGUUUAGUGAUGUCUGAGUACUAUAUAAUAUUUAAAACUUUCAACAACGGAUCUCUUGGUUCUGGCAUCGAUGAAGAACGCAGCGAAAUGCGAUAAGUAAUGUGAAUUGCAGAAUUCAGUGAAUCAUCGAAUCUUUGAACGCACAUUGCGCCCUGUGGUAUUCCGCAGGGCAUGCCUGUUCGAGCGUCAUUUCAACCCAUCAAGCUUCGGCUUGGUCUUGGGGCCUGCGGUUUCACAGCCUCUAAACCCAGUGGCGGUGCUAUUGAGCUCUGAGCGUAGUAAUUUCUCUCGCUAUAGAGUCUCGGUGGUGACUUGCCAACAACCCCCAAUUUUUAUCAGGUUGACCUCGGAUCAGGUAGGGAUACCCGCUGAACUUAAGCAUAUC